UACGUAGGGGGCUAGCGUUGUCCGGAAUCAUUGGGCGUAAAGCGCGUGUAGGCGGCCCGGUAAGUCCGCUGUGAAAGUCGGGGGCUCAACCCUCGGAUGCCGGUGGAUACUGUCGGGCUCGAGUACGGAAGAGGCGAGUGGAAUUCCUGGUGUAGCGGUGAAAUGCGCAGAUAUCAGGAGGAACACCAGUGGCGAAGGCGGUGGUCUGGGCCGGAACUGACGCUGAGGAGCGAAAGCGUGGGUAGCAAACAGG
rnacentral:rRNA from 1 species